GAUUUCUGGUUUAAUGCACCUGACCGCGGCCACUAGGCUUGUGCCGGCGCGCGUUUACCAUCCUUCUAGAAAACGUUUCUGCCUCACUUGGUGGGAUCGCGAUCUAGAUCUGUUUUAAGCAGGCUUUUGCUAUGAAUACAUAGCAUGGAAUAAUAAUCUAGGACUUCGGUUCUAUUUUGUUGGUUUCUAUAACUGAAGUAAUGAUUGAUAGGUGCUAGUAUUGGCCGGCCAGAGGUGAAAUUCUUGGAUUCGGUCAAGACUAACUUAUGCGAAAGCAUU
rnacentral:rRNA from 1 species